ACACUAUCCACGUUGCAGAGUUCAGCACAGCAGGGUGGCCGGCAGAUGUACGGCGAGCUGGCAUUUACCCCAACACUUUUUCAAUUCAGUUUAAUAAAAAAUAUUGACACAAAAGCAUUGAAGAUUACUGUUUGUUUAGAAUGAUUUGCCUUUAUGAUUUGCCAACUCGUGCUUCAGUCUGAUCAACUGUAGUCUACUGAUAACAGCUACAGGUGGGCCUAGAGAAACCUAUGCACUCUGGUCUCUUCUGGCCAGGUGAAACGAAGCGGUAAUGUGGUGUUUUUAUAGCCAAAGCUUUGUAUUUAAAGCCUAAAAUAGGCCUAUUUUAUUUGUGUUUUAAGAGAAAAUGUGACUGUGAUCAAAUUAGAUUUGUAUAUUUUCCGCCUUCGGGUGGCUAGUCUACCCAGACCGUAUCAAUCCAAAAUGAUUGACUGAAAUCAAUCGAUGAACACCAUAGUGAUGACAUAGUGUAUGAGUCACUUUUCAAUUACAGAUGUUAAAAGGCCCACACUGUGUAACCGUGCCUACAGUCAGCCCUGUUGGUUCUAUUGGCCAAUCACAGUUGUUGAUUACUAGGAAAAACCCUCCUGUGGUGCCACCUCUGAAAAUCACCCCCACAGAGAGACGGAUGAAGAAGCAUGCUCUACAAUCUCAACCAUUAUUAUUUUUAGUAUCUCAUCAUAAAACACAGGUUAUAUAAUAUACAACAGGAAACACAGGUUAUAUAAUAUACAACAGGAAACACAGGUUAUAUAAUAUACAACAGGAAACACAGGUUAUAUAAUAUACAACAGGAAACACAGGUUAUAUAAUAUACAACAGGAAACACAGGUUAUAUAAUAUACAACAGGAAACACAGGUUAUAUAAUAUACAACAGGAAACACAGGUUAUAUAAUAUACAACAGGAAACACAGGUUAUAUAAUAUACAACAGGAAACACAGGUUAUAUAAUAUACAACAGGAAACACAGGUUAUAUAAUAUACAACAGGAAACACAGGUUAUAUAAUAUACAACAGGAAACACAGGUUAUAUAAUAUACAACAGGAAACACAGGUUAUAUAAUAUACAACAGGAAACAUGGCGGAGGGGUAUUUUCUUUCUUAUCAUUCUGUCACUUAUUCAGCGUCAUUCUAGGAAGAUGGAGAUGAGGUGAGGAAGCUACGUUAGACACCCAGAGAGUCUCCCUUCCAGUCCCUUCUGAUGGUGCAGAUUUAAUUCACAGUCCCUAAGCGCUGAUCCUGAAUCAGUCUUAAAUUAUUUUUGUGUGGUCUGUUUGGAGGAUGGGGAUUAUUAGUGGUUGGAGGACAGAUCCUAGAUCAGAUCUUAUGGGAACGACUGACUUCGAUGUUGUCUAUGUAAGGGAAUUACAGUCAAUUCAAAUGCCAAUCCCAAGGGCUCAAACCAAUGAACUCAGUUUAUUUCAACACGUUUCUAAACCCGGUCAAGAAGGACAUGAAACGAUCCCUAUUCCAAAUGAUUAUUUAUGUCACAGUGUUGUCAUUUGCAUGUAAUAAUGGGUGGGCCCAUGUUGAGGUAAACUGGACACGGAAUCAGAAUCGUCCCUUGUUGCCUGGCAACCGAACCUCUGGAACAUUCAGUGUUCUGAUUGAUCAGCUUCUGUCUUCCAUCUUGUUUUUUUUUACAUUUUAAAGCUAUGAUAAUUAUUCCCAGGGAGACCAGUCAGCUCUUUGCACAGUUCUUCCACAACAUGGCUUGCAUUCGUUUGGACGUCUUUGUAUAUUUCAACUUUGAGAUUUUAUGAUUUGAGAAUAAAACUGUUUAAUUUC